GGGAGACUCAUCUGCUAUUAUAGCUCCGGCCCGCCUCGGGGCCCCGGCGUGCGAAUUCCGCCUCGGGAGCCGGACUCCGGGGUGCGAGGGGGGGGGGCGCGGAUCCAGGGCAGGACGCGCGGGUGCGGCUCGCCGGGGGGUCGGGCCGCCGGGACCCUUGCGCCGGGCCGCCAGACCCUUGCGCGGGGUCCACUCGGACCGCGGCUUCUGUCGGGGAGCUGGCAGGUGUGCGCGCCCGAGCCCCGGGCUGCACCCCAGGACCCCCGGCUGGUCCCCCGCGCAGGGAAGGGAAGCGGGGCGCGACCCCCCAGCCUGGAGAGCGCGCCCGGGCCUCGGCCCCGGCCCCUCCGCUCCCGGCAGAACCGAGGCCUCUCAUCCUCCUCGGGGGCCCCGGGUGACCGCGCCCCUCGCCCGGGCGCCCCGCUUGCGCCCCNNNNNNNNNNNNNNNNNNNNNNNNNNNNNNAGGCCCCGCCCCGCACGCCCUCGCCCGAAGGAGACGAGGUGCCCAGCCCGGGAGGGAGCAUAAAGGGGGCCCUGUUGCCGCCGCCGCCGCCCCAUUCAGGGCCGAAUUCAAAUGGAUAUUUCCCCCGCGGCCCCGCCGCCGAGCCUCAAUGCCUCAAAGACUCAACGGCAGGAAUUUGUCUGACACACUCAGGGCGGCUGAGAGUCCAAGUCGGACAAAUGCUGUCCCAAUAAAGACAUAACAGCUAAAAUCUGUUCUUCCUGGUUUGCUGAAGUGCAAUGAAAGAUAACUACAUCUGAAAUUCCGGGCCGGCAGCUGCUCAUAGAUUUCUUCAUUAAAUAAACAUCGGGAUACCUGCUGAUUGAACCCA
rnacentral:lncRNA from 1 species